rnacentral:rRNA from 1 species
AGGGUUUGAUCCUGGCUCAGAACGAACGCUGGCGGCGUGGAUUAGGCAUGCAAGUCGAACGAGAAUCACGGAGUUUUAGUUUUCGAACGAGAACACUGUGAGGACAGUGGCGAAAGGGUGAGUAAUGCAUAGAUAAGCUGCCCUUGAGAGGGGGACAACUGGCUGAAAGGCCAGCUAAUACCGCAUACGAUCAUGAAUUCACCUGGAUUCAUGAUGAAACGGGGGGAUCUGUUCGCAGACCUCUGGCUCGAGGAUGUAUCUAUGUCCUAUUAGUUUGUUGGUGAGGUAAUGGCUCACCAAGACUAUGAUGGGUAGCCGACCUGAGAGGGUGACCGGCCACACUGGGACUGAGACACUGCCCAGACUCCUACGGGAGGCUGCAGUCGAGAAUCAUUGUCAAUGUGCGAAAGCGUGAACAUGCGACGCCGCGUGAGCGAUGAAGGCCUUCGGGUUGUAAAGCUCUGUCAUAUGUCAAGAAAUGGAGAGAUGUUAAUAUCAGCUCUCCUUGACGUAAGCAUAAAAGGAAGCUCUGGCUAAUUCCGUGCCAGCAGCCGCGGUAAUACGGAAGGAGCAAGCGUUGUUCGGAAUCACUGGGCAUAAAGAGCACGUAGGCGGCUCUAACAGUUGGGUGUGAAAUCCCUCCGCUUACCGGAGGAACUGCAUUCAAUACUAUAGGGCUAGAGUGUAGAAGGGGAGAGUGGAAUUCCUGGUGGAGCGGUGAAAUGCGUUGAGAUCAGGAGGAACACCGGUGGCGAAAGCGGCUCUCUGGUCUACAACUGACGCUGAGGUGCGAAAGCUAGGGGAGCAAACGGGAUUAGAUACCCCGGUAGUCCUAGCCGUAAACGAUGGGCACUACGUAGAGGGGGUUCCGAUACCUUCUCUGCCGGAGCUAAUGUAUUAAGUGCCCCGCCUGGGGAGUAUGGUCGCAAGGCUAAAACUCAAAGGAAUUGACGGGGGCUCGCACAAGCGGUGGAGCACGUUGUUUAAUUCGAAUCUACGCGAAGAACCUUACCAGGGUUUGACAUGUUUGGAUGCCCUCCCUGAAAGGGGAGUAAGCUGCCUUUUAGGUGAAACCUGCACAGGUGUUGCAUGGCUGUCGUCAGCUCGUGUCGUGAGAUGUCGGGUUAAGUCCCUUAACGAGCGAAACCCUUGUCCUUAGUUGCCAGCAUUUAAGGUGGGGACUCUAAGGAGACCGCCGGUGUUAAACCGGAGGAAGGUGGGGAUGACGUCAAGUCCUCAUGGCCCUUAUGCCCUGGGCUACAAACGUGCUACAAUGGUCGGUACAGAGAGAAGCAAGACCGUGAGGUGGAGCAAAACUCAAAAAGCCGGCCCUAGUUCGGAUUGAAGGCUGCAAUUCGCCUUCAUGAAGCCGGAAUCGCUAGUAAUCGCGAAUCAGCUACGUCGCGGUGAAUAUGUUCCCGAGCCUUGUACACACCGCCCGUCAAGCCACGAAAGUCGAGAGUGCCCGAAGUCGCUGGCCUAAUUCAGUUUACUGAAAGGGAGGUGCCGAAGGCAAGCUCGAUGAUUGGGACUAAGUCGGAACAAGGU